CAACCAGAAGAGGUAUGCAUAAAAGUAUUUGUCUCAAGGAAAAAUCCUAGAGUUCCCUCUAUUUUCUGGGUUUGGAAAAGUGCGGAUUUUCAAGAAAGGGAAUCUUAUCAUAAAAGAUU